rnacentral:rRNA from 1 species
AACGAACGCUGGUGGCGUGCUUAACACAUGCAAGUCGAACGAGAAAGUUUCCUUCGGGAAAUUAGUAAAGUGGCGCAAGGGUGAGUAUCACGUGAAUAAUCUGCCCUCGAGAUCGGGAUAACAUGGUGAAAACUAUGCUAAUACCGGAUAAGACCACAUUUCAUAAGAAAUGCGGUAAAAGGAGUCUCAAUCUUCACUCGAGGAUGAGUUCGCGCAACAUUAGCUUGUUGGUGAGAUAAAAGCUCACCAAGGCUACGAUGUUUAGCCGGCCUGAGAGGGUGAACGGCCACACUGGAACUGAGACACGGUCCAGACUCCUACGGGAGGCAGCAGUGGGGAAUAUUGGACAAUGGGCGAAAGCCUGAUCCAGCAAUGUUACGUGGGUGAUU